rnacentral:rRNA from 1 species
GAUGAACGCUGGCGGCGUGCCUAAUACAUGCAAGUCGAGCGAACAGAUAAGGAGCUUGCUCCUUUGACGUUAGCGGCGGACGGGUGAGUAACACGUGGAUAACCUACCUAUAAGACUGGGAUAACUUCGGGAAACCGGAGCUAAUACCGGAUAACAUAUUGAACCGCAUGGUUCAAUAGUGAAAGGCGGCUUUGCUGUCACUUAUAGAUGGAUCCGCGCCGUAUUAGCUAGUCGGUAAGGUAACGGCUUACCAAGGCAACGAUACGUAGCCGACCUGAGAGGGUGAUCGGCCACACUGGAACUGAGACACGGUCCGGACUCCUACGGGAGGCAGCAGUAGGGAAUCUUCCGCAAUGGGCGAAAGCCUGACGGAGCAACGCCGCGUGAGUGAUGAAGGUCUUCGGAUCGUAAAACUCUGUUAUCAGGGAAGAACAAAUGUGUAAGUAACUGUGCACAUCUUGACGGUACCUGAUCAGAAAGCCACGGCUAACUACGUG